UACGUAGGUGACCAGCGUUGUCCGGACUUACUGGGCGUAAAGAGCGCGCAGGCGGUCGUUCAAGUCGAGUGUGAAAGCCCCCGGCUCAACUGGGGAGGGUCAUUCGAUACUGAUCGACUGGAAGGCAGGAGAGGGAAGCGGAAUUCCCGGUGUAGUGGUGAAAUGCGUAGAUAUCGGGAGGAACACCAGUGGCGAAGGCGGCUUCCUGGCCUGUUCUUGACGCUGAGGCGCGAAAGCUAGGGGAGCAAACGGG
rnacentral:rRNA from 1 species